rnacentral:rRNA from 1 species
GGCCCUACGGGAGGCAGCAGUGAGGAAUAUUGGUCAAUGGGCGGGAGCCUGAACCAGCCAAGUCGCGUGAGGGAUGACGGCCCUAUGGGUUGUAAACCUCUUUUGCCGGGGAGCAAAGUGCCGCACGUGGGCGGUUUGGAGAGUACCCGGAGAAAAAGCAUCGGCUAACUCCGGGCCAGCAGCCGCGGUAAUACGGAGGAUGCGAGCGUUAUCCGGAUUUAUUGGGUUUAAAGGGGGCGUAGGCGGACGCGUAAGUCAGCGGUAAAAUUGCGGGGUUCAACCUCG